UUAAAGAUAGUGAUAAGGAAUAGUAUAUAUUAGUUAACUUUUAAGAGAGCUAGAAGUUGGUGGAAUCUAGUAAGUGAGCUUUAUAGAAGCAGCCUUUGAAUUUUAUAGCUGAAAAAUAAAGAUUAUAAUUAACAUAAUUUUUAAUUAGGCUAUGACGCGUUCCUCGCGUUAUAGAGGAAGAGCAUGUAUGUGCUCUAGCUGAGUGAACAAUACUUGUAUUGUUUAUUAGGGUGGUACCGCGAAGUAGUUCCUUCGUCCCUUGU
rnacentral:ncRNA from 1 species